rnacentral:sRNA from 1 species
UAAAAACGGCGAUGUAAUGGACACCUACUUUUUAGGCUAUGAUGAAAGUGUACAGCGCGAAAAAAU